GACGAACGCUGGCGGCAAGCUUAACACAUGCAAGUCGAACGCCGUAGCAAUACGGAGUGGCAGACGGGUGAGUAACACGUGGGAACGUGCCUUUCGGUUCGGAACAACUGAGGGAAACUUCAGCUAAAACCGGAUACGACCUUCGGGGCAAAGUUUACGCCGAAAGAACGGCCCGCGUCAGAUUAGGUAGUUGGCGGGGUAAUGGCCCACCAAGCCGAUGAUCUGUAGCUGUUCUGAGAGGUAGAUCAGCCACACUGGGACUGAGACACGGCCCAGACUCCUGCGGGAGGCAGCAGUGGGGAAUAUUGGACAAUGGGCGCAAGCCUGAUCCAGCUAUGCCGCGUGGAUGAAGAAGGCCUUCGGGUUGUAAAGUCCUUUCGGCGGGGAAGAUAAUGACGGUACCCGCAGAAGAAGCCCCGGCUAAUUUCGUGCCAGCAGCCGCAGUAAAAC
rnacentral:rRNA from 1 species